CCCUAUGGGGUGCACCAGGCCCCAAAGCGUGGGCAGUGUUCGAAUGGUCCCGGAUCGAUGAGAAGGCGUUCUGGACACUGUGGUCGCAGGCCCACAAACGCAAGGCUGACGCGGCGGGAGGGGACGAGAUUGCGGAGUCCAGGAAGCAAGAGGCUGAGUUGCUUGCGAUGCUCAGCGAAUUCAGCGCCGGUGUGGAGGCCAGUCUUCGGGCCGACCGCUCGAAACUCACGCGCGGAGUCUUGGCCGAUGACGCGAUCACGCCUGAGGAACUGGAGGAAUGGGCGGGAGGGC
rnacentral:rRNA from 1 species